rnacentral:tRNA from 1 species
AAAAAAGUAUGCAAGAACUGCUAACUCCUGCCCCCAUACAUAAAAAUAUGGCUUUUUUA